UAUUAGGUUGGUGCAAAAGUAAUUGUGGUCUUUGCCAUUAAAAGUAAUGGCAAACACAGCAGUUACUUUUGUACCAACCUAAUA
rfam:Pongo abelii chromosome 10.